rnacentral:rRNA from 1 species
AGUAGUUGAUAUGGCUCAGGAUGAACGCUAGCGACAGGCUAACACAUGCAAGUCGAGGGCAUCACGGGAGUAGCAAUACAACUGGUGGCGACCGGCGCACGGGUGAGUAACGCGUAUGCAACCUACCUAUCAGAGGGGAAUAACCCGGCGAAAGUCGGACUAAUACCGCAUAAAACAGGGGCACCGCAUGGUGAUAUUUGUUAAAGAAAUUCGCUGAUAGAUGGGCAUGCGUUCCAUUAGGUAGUUGGUGAGGUAACGGCUCACCAAGCCGACGAUGGAUAGGGGAACUGAGAGGUUGGUCCCCCACACUGGUACUGAGACACGGACCAGACUCCUACGGGAGGCAGCAGUGAGGAAUAUUGGUCAAUGGGCGGGAGCCUGAACCAGCCAAGUCGCGUGAAAGGAAGAAGGAUCUAUGGUUCGUAAACUUCUUUUGCAGGGGAAUAAAGUGCAGGACGUGUCCUGUUUUGUAUGUACCCUGAGAAUAAGGAUCGGCUAACUCCGUGCCAGCCGCAGC